AGAAGCCGCAGUAGAUGCACUUGGUCAUGUCGAUGUCAUAGCGGGUGGUCCGGCGGCUGCCAUCAGCUCUUGGCUCAGCCUCGAUGGUGAUGGCCUGGGCUGGCGUGGUGGCCGGUUGGGGCAGGGGCUCACCUGGGCGGGGCAGAUGGCCUCGCAGAGCUUGCAGGCAAUGCAACGCUCCUCCCCGGAUGGGUACCGGCGCAGCGCAUGCUCCCCACGGAAGCGAGGGCUCAGCGGGCCCUUCUCGAACGGGUAGUUGAUGGUGGCCGGUUCCCGGAACAGGUAGCUCAGGGUCAUGCCCAGGC
rnacentral:lncRNA from 1 species